rnacentral:ncRNA from 3 species
UUUGCUUUUAUGCUCACUCACAGAUAUUUGUUUUUAGGCAAAUAAACAAGUCAUUUAUUUAUAUGCUGUUUUCUUGUGUAGUUAUAGGGAUGGCCCAGGUAAUCCUCUUAGACAUAAUUAUGAAGGUACUUUAAGAGAUCUUCUACAGUUCUUCAAGCCUAGACAACCUAAGAAACUUUACUAUCAGCAGCUUAAGAUGAAAAUCACAGACUUUGAGAACAGGCGAAGUUUUAAAUGUAUAUGGUUAAACAGCCAAUUUAGGGAAGAGGAAAUAACACUAUAUCCAGACAAGCAUGGGUGUGUC